ensembl:lncRNA novel transcript
CCAAGGGGAAAGUGACUUUACCCACGAGAGAGAUUUUUAAAUAUUCCCCCAACUGCUCCGAUGGGACCGUCUAGUUACAGGAAAACAAGCUCAAGGCUCCCACUGAUUCUACAUUACGUCCAUGGAAAAACUGUCUUCCCUGGUGCCAAAAAGGUUGACGGCUGUUCUGCAGCAAGGUCUUUAAACAAUGCCUGUGACAUAGACAAUCCCUCAGAAAGAUGCUUAUCUAACGUUCCCAGUGGUCAUGACUUUUGGCAAGAAAGUUGGAGAUGUGACCAGCUGCACAUGACUUUACCUAAAAGCUUGCUAUGUAAAGGACACUUUCUGGAGAGUGGGUGUAGGAAUUCACUGUCUCACUGCUGCCCAAGACAGCACUACUGUUUGUAAGCCCCUAUUAAAUAUUUCUUUCUGAGAAA